UUUCAAGAUUAGUGGAUUAAGUCCUUUUUGAAGGCGAAAUCACCUUGGUCGGGUGGACUGGAGUAGCUUUGUAUUAAUCUUUCAAGAUUAGUGGAUUAAGUCCUUUUUGAAGGCGAAAUCACCUUGGUCGGGUGGACUGGAGUAGCUUUGUGUUAUAAGCGAACCAGUAUAAAAUUCUGUGUGUUCUUACUUUUGAAAAAACUUUUAAUUUAUAAAACAAUUCAAACCCUCCUUUCUUGUUUUUCUCACCUUCAAUUUGACUGUGCUAAAGAUACACUAUAUUGGUGACUCGUCAGACUCAUGCAUUAUCUAAGACACUUAUACUAAAAGCAAAAUGAAAUAAAGUAAACAACUAAAA
rnacentral:lncRNA from 1 species